GGGCUGCAGUGAGGAAUUUUGCGCAAUGGGGGAAACCCUGACGCAGCAACGCCGCGUGGGUGAAGAAGGCCUUCGGGUCGUAAAGCCCUGUCAAGCGGGAAGAACCCUCCGGAAGCGAAUAACUUCCGGAGCUGACGGUACCGCUGAAGGAAGCACCGGCUAACUCCGUGCCAGCAGCCGCGGUAAUACGGAGGGUGCAAGCGUUAUUCGGAAUCAUUGGGUGUAAAGCGCGUGUAGGCGGCUUGGUAAGUCAGAUGUGAAAUCUCCGGGCUUAACCCGGAAAGUGCAUUUGAAACUGCUUGGCUUGAGUUCGGGAGAGGAAGGUGGAAUUCCCAGUGUAGAGGUGAAAUUCGUAGAUAUUGGGAGGAACACCGGUGGCGAAGGCGACCUUCUGGACCGUGACUGACGCUGAGACGCGAAAGCGUGGGGAGCAAACAGGAUUAGAUACCCCUGUAGUC
rnacentral:rRNA from 1 species